UUGUAAUCCCCGAGGGACGACCGAUGGCGAAGGCAUCUUACCAGAACGGCUUCGACAGUGAGGGACGAAAGCUGGGGGAGCAAACCGGAUUAGAUACCCGGGUAGUCCCAGCCGUAAACGAUGUGCGUUAGGUGUGUCAGUGACCACGAGUCGCUGAGGUGCCGAAGGGAAACCGUGAAACGCACCGCCUGGGAAGUACGGUCGCAAGGCUGAAACUUAA
rnacentral:rRNA from 1 species